rnacentral:rRNA from 1 species
GAAAGGCGGACUAAUACCGAAUGUCGAUUCGGAGGCUUAUGCCACCGGGUCGAAAGGUGGGGAUCCUUCGGGACCUGCCGCUCGAGGAGGGGUUCAUCUCCUAUUAGCUUGUUGGUGAGGUAACGGCCCACCAAGGCUACGAUGGGUACCCGGGCUGAGAGGCUGAUCGGGCACACUGGGACUGAGACACUGCCCAGACUCCUACGGGAGGCUGCAGUCGAGAAUCUUCCGCAAUGCGCGAAAGCGUGACGGAGCGACGCCGCGUGGAUGACGAAGGCCUUCGGGUCGUAAAGUCCUUUUAGGGGGUAUGAAAAGCCGGAUGGGUAAUACCUGUUCGGUCUGACGUCAACCCCAGAAAAAGCCACGGCUAAACUCGUGCCAGCAGCCGCGGUAAGACGAGUGUGGCAAGCGUUGUUCGGAAUUACUGGGCAUAAAGAGCUCGUAGGCGGUGAGGUAAGUCUUGUGUGAAAUCCCUCGGCUUAACCGAGGAAUGGCAUGUGAUACUGCCUCACUUGGGGACAGGAGGGGAGAGUGGAAUUCUGGGUGUAGCGGUUGAAAUGCGUA